UAGAGCCGUCCCCGUCUAAUGGCCUCUUUGUUUCACUGCCACAAUGUUGGCUAAGAAAAUAAGGAAAUGAGGCCGUGCCAAUGGGAAAGUCACCCUGAGAAGCCGUGUGGCAGGGUCUGCUGGUUCAACACACGCCUGUCUCCCGCGACCUGCGGAUCCCCCACCAGGCAUUCACAGGAAAGACUUACAUCCUGGAGACCUCACAUCCGACCUUACAGCCUUCGUCCAGUAGAUGGCACUAACUCGUUUGAAAUAAGCAGAAAUCCAAUCCACCUGAGAGCUCAAGGUAGACGGAGAGACGGCAGGAGAGGGAAAGAGCUGCAGAGGACAGGCACAAGCAGCAACGCCCCACACCGGCCAGCUGUCCUGAAAUGACACAGACGAAGCCUGCACCCUCCUGGACGUAAUCCGGGACCUGCCGUGUAGCCCUGACUCCUUGCCGCAUUGGCUUUCAAAAAUCACCUGCGGCUUCCCAAACCUGGGCCUGCCUGCGGCUGCGAGCUGGGCGUGAGGGGCCGGGACGAUGCCACAACCCACUAGGACCACAGGAUGGCGGUGCUGCGCCAAGAGGACACGUUUGCACAGGCAAGUCCAGCUCUGGAAAAGCAAUCUGAAGACAUGAGAGGGACCUGAAAACGCGAUCGGGAGAGAGAAGCGAGGUGGAGAGAGACGGGUGGCUUGGGCUUGCAACCUGUCUCUCAAAUUCACGAUUAUACAUACUCCACUCCUGCUUGCGCUGUGGGGGCCACCAUUCACUCAGGGGCUGCUGAGCACCAGGGUGCGCUCAGCACCGGGCGUGCCUGGGUUCAUCUCAAGAGAUUCAUGAGGGAAGUUCUCUGAGGUCUCCACUUCUCAGCAGAAACAUUAUGUGGGGAGCCAGAGGCCGGGACCUCUUGCAUUAUCUCGAAAGAUGAAGGGACAGUGACCUAAUUCUGGCCACAUCAACAAGUGAUGAGGUGGCUUCCAUGCAUCCAAGGCUAAAAUUUUCCCUCUUUCAUUCUGCAAAUGUUUGAGCACCUACUUUGUGCUGGGCAAGGUCCGAGGGACCUAGAGGAAGCCCCUGCUUCUACCACAAAGAGACCACAAUUCACCAUGAGGUCCUGCACCAGAGGCGCCCUGGAGUGAAUGAACAGUGCAGGGCCCACACCGUGCGCACAGGUGCAUCUUCAAUGACGUCACUGGUAACCCCGGGACUCUCAGGAGGCGAUUUGCUACAUUGUCAAGAAUUGUGAGAGCCAGUUCUUAAACACAUCUAUUCUUAAAUUAUGGAAGCUUACAGUUAACAGGUUAUAUUUAAAAGUUAUCAUUAAAUUUGAUUAAAUAAGUUCUAUUUAAAAC